ensembl:lncRNA
GUCUGGCACACAUUACGCUAAUCCGCGCGCUGCGAGCCGCGUCCCGCAGCCAUCGGCGCGCUCUCUGCCCCCGCCGGGGCGCUCGCUGAGGGGAGGGGAGGGGGGAGAGUGAAAAGGGGCACCUCCGGCGGGGAGAGUCCCUCCUCGUUACGUAGAGAAAUAAAUCGCUCCAGAAAGAGAUGAAUGGCACACAAGGAACGGCUUCUGCCUUACGGGCAUUACUAAAACCCUCACCUCGCCCAUGCGCCCCUACGGCACGCAGGUCAACCGGUGAGCGCUGUGCUUCAGCUCCCUUUCUGCGCCCCGAAGACACGCACGUGGCCACGCGCGGCAGCAGGAAACACCAUGAGGCAGAACCGGAAGGACUGCGGGGCUGCAUGCCACGGCCACGCCAAUCCCAACUUCUGGGCAGGAAACGUAUGCCAUGGCAGAGCGCUGAAGAUGACUCAAAUCGCCUCUCCCCCACCCUCCGGUGCCACGGAACAACAGCCCUCUUCAGCCAGGGGAGGGGGACCACGUGGAGGGAUGACUCAAAGCUCUGGGAUAGGGGAAAAACCCACAGAGCAGAGCACACAGC